AGGAGCAGCUUGCUGCUUCGCUGACGAGUGGCGGACGGGUGAGUAAUGUCUGGGAAACUGCCUGAUGGAGGGGGAUAACUACUGGAAACGGUAGCUAAUACCGCAUAACGUCGCAAGACCAAAGAGGGGGACCUUCGGGCCUCUUGCCAUCGGAUGUGCCCAGAUGGGAUUAGCUAGUAGGUGGGGUAACGGCUCACCUAGGCGACGAUCCCUAGCUGGUCUGAGAGGAUGACCAGCCACACUGGAACUGAGACACGGUCCAGACUCCUACGGGAGGCAGCAGUGGGGAAUAUUGCACAAUGGGCGCAAGCCUGAUGCAGCCAUGCCGCGUGUAUGAAGAAGGCCUUCGGGUUGUAAAGUACUUUCAGCGGGGAGGAAGGGAGUAAAGUUAAUACCUUUGCUCAUUGACGUUACCCGCAGAAGAAGCACCGGCUAACUCCGUGCCAGCAGCCGCGGUAAUACGGAGGGUGCAAGCGUUAAUCGGAAUUACUGGGCGUAAAGCGCACGCAGGCGGUUUGUUAAGUCAGAUGUGAAAUCCCCGGGCUCAACCUGGGAACUGCAUCUGAUACUGGCAAGCUUGAGUCUCGUAGAGGGGGGUAGAAUUCCAUGUGU
rnacentral:rRNA from 1 species